GGUGGGUGGGUGGCAUAAGUGUUUUGUAGCCAUCAUCAGAUGCACAAAACACCUGGCAGAUGCAAUAUGUUCCUGGUAUGGGAAAUGCAGGUGGGGGAAAGUUCUGUGCCGUCAGGUUAGAGCAGGGAACUGUUAAAUCUCAAUUCAUCGGUCUGUAUCGGCUGUGCUUCUUCCAUUGCUUAUAAUGACAUAUGCUGGGAGGUCUCCCUGGUGCCCUCGCUUCACAAUCCGUGUGUGGUUACCAGGGAGAAACUGACCCAGGGGGGUUCCUGCACAGGUACACAGGUGUAACUCUGGAAAGCCGCUGUGUCUGUGAGAAGAAGGAAAUAUGUGGCUCUGCAACGGCCUACCAUAGGGACCCCCCCUGGCUACUGUUUUCCCCAGCUGACCUUGAUCUGUGGGUGGGUGAACACACAACACCCGCCCCAGCAGAUCUGCCUUUGCAAUUUGACGCUUCCCUAAAUCCGCUUGUUCCUUCUGUUUGUAAAAGGCGCUUUCCCCCUCCGCUUUCCGAGAUAAAAGUCAGCUUAUAGCUUCUCAUUCAUAUGCUGGAGGGGAUUCAUCCAGCAGGCAAAGCUAGGCACCAGGCACAAGUAAUUAUGACGGACUACUCAACUGGAGAGAUCCAAUUAUUGGUGAUUUAGAAUAUUUGUCUAAAUUAAAGCUAUAUUUACAGAGCCCCGGGGUAAAUCGUUUAACAGGAAACCAAAGGCAGGGAGCAUCACAUUCCUUUCCUUUCGUGCCUCCCCACCCCCUUUUGAAACAAGAACAAAAAAACUACAUCCACUCAUUUGUUUGCUCUCUUCGUUACGGUGCCCAUAGCGAUCGAGAAAUGCCAGUGGCAGCCAAAGGUUCCGUAUCCUUCAUUCACAGAAAAUAAUUGCAUUUUCCGGUUGCUGUGCCACUGUAACAACAAAGCAGCCAGGUUUUGAUUAUACUGUAGUGGGAUUAUAGCAAAUGCUGACUUCAGUAGGAGUUUUAUGUUGACUUAAGUUGGAACAGUUUUACAAGGGUAUUUGUUGAGCUGUUUAUUGUAGGUUUGUGAACCCCUUUUACCUACCCCCAUCCCAAGUUUCCAAUGUUAGCAGAGUGCUGAGUGCAUAGAACUGUGAAUUGGGAGGUGCUUUUUACCAGAACUGGGUAACCUUUGGACCUCAGGGGUUAUACAUUUCCCAUCACUGGGCAGGCUGACCGGGGCUGAAGGGAGUUGGAGGCCAGCAACAAACAGCUGGAGGGUCACAGGGUCCAUAUCCCUGCUUUAUUAUUACUAUUAUUUAUUUAUUUAUCUAUUUAUUAAAUUCACAUACUGCCCUGAGAAUUAUACUGAGCAAGCUGCAAGCAGGUUUUCCAUGGUUUUCAAAGGGAGUUCCAGAGAACUGUUCAGUUCCUCAGAUACUGGUGAGAACAUAAAUAGUGGUGUAAUAGCUUUCCUGAAAGCCCAUGGAGGUUCAGGCACAAUGAGAAGUCCUGGUUUCUUGCUGUAUAAAGGAGCCUUGGGCUUGUUCACACUCCCUAUACCAUGCACUAAAGGAGCAUCCACGUGUGGUUUCAAAAACAAGCAUGGCUCAAUGCUACUUCUGAGCUCGGAACAGUAGCUUGCCAAACCCUCCUUAGUGAGCAAACCUGGAUCUGAAACCACAUCUUGAUUCCGCUUUGUUCUCUGCAACUAGAAUUGUCAUGGCUGCAGUCCCUGCGCUGCUGUAUGUGUUGCAGUUCCAUGGUAAUUGAUGGGAUCUGAGUGCACUUGCUGGGCACUGGUCUGCAUCCAGCAUAGCCAUUAGUAGCCGCUUCUCAGAGUGCUGAUUGCUUUUUAAUGACGUAACCAAAUGUUUCUCUGGCAUUCUGUCACUUAAAAAUACCUUUUCAUGUUUGUGUGUGUGUUUUGAAGUUUAAGGGCAGUGAGAAGCAGUGAUAACACAAUCAGGUAUACAGAGUGUGGUUCAUGGUGCCUAGCGAUACUCUCUAUUUCUUUAACCCCCUUAGAGUCAAAUUAAAAUUUCUUGGUUUUGGCUGGACCGAAGUGGUUGUGUGCCUUAAGCGGGGAUGGUAUAAAUUAGAGUGUGCUGCAUCAGCAAAAUACUUUUUUUGGUUGUGAACUUUAGAGACAUCAUCUGUCGUCGUCCCCCGCCCUUUUGCAAAUUACCAAGGAAAUUAAAAUGUUUCAACUAUCUUUCUGUCAAAGCAAAAAGUAAUUAAAUUAACCUAACAUUGUCUUUCCUUUGUGAGACGGGUUGCACAAGACCCAUCAAUGGUACUUGAACCAUCCCUUCCUCUUACUAGUGAAUGUAGGAGCCAAAUGGCGAACUAUGGCCCCUUACAAACAAGGAGGACGUGUCAGCUUGGUUGGAGGACCUUCGAGGAUUGCAGAGACAUGUGCAGAAAGGCAGGUGCUAAGAGACAACGCAGCUGGUUUUCCUUCUAACCCCAGGUUGCUUCGAGUUCACCAUUCUGGAAAAAGUGAAAUAGGGGCAAUGACAUGGGUGGCGCUGUGGGUUAAACCACAGAGCCUAGGGCUUGCCGAUCAGAAGGUCAGCAGUUCGAAUCCCCGCAACGGGGUGAGCUCCCGUUGCUCAGUCCCAGCUCCUGCCAACCUAGCAGUUCGAAAGCAUGUCAAAGUGCAAGUAGAUAAAUAGGUACCGCUCCAGCAGGAAGGUAAACGGCAUUUCCGUGCGCAGCCCUGGUUUCGCCAGAAGCGGCUUUGUCAUGCUGGCCACAUGACCCGGAAGCUGUAUGCCGGCUCCCUCGGCCAAUAAAGCGAGAUGAGCGCCGCAACCCCAGAGUCGUCCGCGACUGGACCUAAUGGUCAGGGGUCCCUUUACCUUUACCUUUUACAACAUCAACCCUCUGCCCCGUCAGAGUGUGUGGGCUCCGUUUGCUAAGAAGGGCUUGAUUCUGCUCAAUGACAUUCUCUCGAUGUCAUCCUGACGUUCAUGGUUCCUGCAUUAAAUACCUUUGAAGAUCUGUAUGAAGC